UACGAAGGGGCUAGCGUUGUUCGGAAUUACUGGGCGUAAAGGCUCGUAGGCGGCCAACUAAGUCAGACGUGAAAUCCCCAGGCUCAACCUGGGAACUGCGUCUGAUACUGGAUGGCUGGAGUUUGGAGAGGGAUGCGGAAUUCCAGGUGUAGCGGUGAAAUGCGUAGAUAUACUGGAGGAACACCGGUGGCGAAGGCGGCAUCCUGGACCAACACUGACGCUGAGGAGCGAAAGCCAGGGAGCAACGGGG
rnacentral:rRNA from 1 species